rnacentral:rRNA from 1 species
UGUCUUUUUGAAAAUAAUUUAAAGUCUAAUCUGCCCACUGAUUUAAAUUGAAGGGCUGCAGUAUAUUGACUGUACAAAGGUAGCAUAAUCAGUAGUCAUUUAAUUGAUGACUUGUAUGAAUGAUUGGAUGAAAUAUAAACUGUCUUUAAAUUAUUUAUAAAAUUUAAUUUUUUUAUUAAAAAGUUAAAAUAAUUUAAAAAGACGAGAAGACCCUAUAGAGUUUUAUAAAUACAUUAAAUUAAAAUAAUAAUGUAAAAUAAAUUUAAAAUUUAAUUAUUUAUUUUAUUGGGGUGAUAAAAAAAUAUAAAAAACUUUUUUUAAUAAAAAACAUUAAUAAAUGAUUAAAUGAUCCAUUAAUAUUGAUUAUAAGAAAAAAUUACCUUAGGGAUAACAGCGUAAUUUUUUUUUUUAGUUCAAAUAAUAAAAAGAGUUUGCGACCUCGAUGUUGGAUUAAGAUAAAUUUUAAAUGUAGAAG